GACAUUGUAUCCGAUAAUCCUUCUUCUCCCUCUCUCUCACUACUAUCUUUCUCUCUCUACCCCCAAGUCGUAGCUCCUGCUGCAGCAGCAAGAGUUUGGACUGCUGCGAAACCUCCUUAUACCCACUUUCUCUCACCACCAUGCCCAAAACCCAAGACCUCGAACCCUAGCCCUCGCACCACCGAACCAGGGCUCGGACCGAAAUGAUGAUGAUGGGCGAGCCGUCCUCGCGUCCGCGUGCGCCGCCGAUGCGCCAGACCUUCAGCCCGCGCCUCAGCAAUGGCGACGGUCAUGAGACCAAAGCGCCUCGCUCCAUUACCCAGUACACCCCUUUCUCUCGCAACACUCGCAUCUCUCUCGCUCUAGCACCCUGCGCCCUCUUCCUCCUUGACCUGGGUGGAAUCCCUGUUAUGCUCUCUCUCUCUCUAGGCCUACUGCUCUCUUAUGCCCUCGACUCUUUCUCUCUCAAGACAGCGGCCUUCUUCUCGCUCUGGGUCUCUCUCUUUGUUUCUCUCUUCUCCCUACUCUUCUCUCCCACCUUCCUAAAUCUCCCUUUCUCUCUCAUCGUGCUCGCGUUUGCUCUAUGUGCAAUCACUGUCUUCAUUCUUGGUGUCUGGGCCUCGCUACAAUUUAGGUUUCUCCAGCUUGAGCACCCCUCUGUUGUUCUUUCUCUGGAAACCCUAAUUUUUGCAUGCACGCCGGUCGUGGCCUCAUCGAUCUGGACAUGGGCGUCUGUCUCUGCCCUAGGAAUGCACCACGCCCCUUUUUUCCUCUCUGCUUUUCUGUGCAUCUUUUAUUGGGCUUUCUCUCUCCCUCGGCGAUCAUCAUUCAAGAAAUCGCCAUCUCUCGAGAGGUUUCAUGGAGGUCAGAUCCCAGACGAAACCCUAAUUCUUGGCCCUCUCGAAUCAUCGAUCCAUACCCUAACCCUACUUUUCUUCCCCCUCCUCUUCUACCUUGCCUCUCACCAUCGAGUCGCCUUCUCCUCUGUGAAUUCAAUAUGUGAUAUGCUUCUACUGUUCUUUAUCCCCUUUCUUUUCCAGCUUUAUGCCUCCAUGUAUGGGGCUCUGUGGUGGAUCACGAAGGACUCAAUCCAGUUGCACGGAAUUAGGGUUUGGAAUGGGGCGGUGGCUCUUGUUGUGGUCACAGUUUGUUUGGAAAUUAGGGUUGUUUUCCACUCGUUUGCAAAAUAUCUCCAUGUUCCGCCACCAUUGAGCUAUCUUCUGGUUACAUUGGUUAUGCUUGGCAGUUCAGGAGGAGCAGGGGUGUACAUGGUUGGAAUGAUCAGUGAUAGUUUUAGUUCACUUGCUUUCUCUGCUCUCUCUGUUAUGGUCAGUGGAGCUGGCGCAGUGGUUGUUGGGGUCCCCCUACUGUUGCUCCCAGUUCCCGUAAUCUCAGGUUUCUACCUUGCACGUUUCCUCACAAAGAAGAGCUUGCCAUCAUAUUUUAUCUUUGUCGGUUUAGCAAGCUUGACAGUUACAUGGUUUGUUGUGCAUAACUAUUGGAGCCUUAAUAUUUGGGUAGCUGGUAUGGCGCUGAAAUCCUUCUGUAAGCUUAUAGUUGCAAGUGUUGUGCUGGCUUUGGCUGUUCCCGGUUUUGCCCUUCUCCCCCCAAAAUACCGUUUCUCUACUGAACUUGGACUUAUCAGCCACGCAUUGGUGUUAUGCUUCAUUGAGAAGCGAUUUUUUAGCUAUUCCAACAUCUCUUAUUUUGGGUUUGAUGAUGACGUUAUGUACCCUAGUUACAUGGUGAUCACGACGACAUUUUUGGGUUUGGGUCUGGUGAGAAGAUUGUUUCUAGAUAAUCGAAUUGGACCAAAAGCAGUGUGGGUUUUAACGUGUUUGUAUCUUUCGAAGCUAUCUAUGCUUUUUAUUACAUCAAGGUCUGUUCUGUGGAUUUCAGCUAUCCUUUUGCUGGCAAUAUCUCCUCCAGUGCUUCUAUACAAGGACAAGUCAAGAUCAACUUCUAAAAUGAAGCCAUGGCAAGGUUUCGUGCAUGGAGGAGUUGUGGCUAUAUCCGCUUGGCUUUGUCGAGAAACAAUUUUUGAAGCUCUCCAGUGGUGGAUGGGAAGACCUCCCUCUGAUGGUCUACUCUUGGGAUUUUAUAUUCUUCUAACUGGCUUGGCUUGCAUACCAAUAGUUGCAUUGCACUUUUCUCAUGUACAGCAAGCCAAGCGAGGGUUAUUUGUGUUGGUAUCAGUGGGACUCUUGUUCAUUCUCAUGCAGCCUCCAAUCCCUCUGUCCCUGGCUUUCAGAUCACAGCUAAUCAAGAUGGCUCAUCAAUCAGCUGAUGACAUCACUAUCUAUGGGUACAUUACAUCAAAACCUUCAUGGCCGUCAUGGUUGCUCAUCACCACGGUUGUGCUUACGCUAGCAGCUAUGACAUCCAUCAUCCCCGUCAAGUACAUUGUUGAAUUAAGGGCAUUCUAUGCUAUUGGAGUUGGAACCACAUUUGGCAUUUAUAUAUGUGCAGAAUACUUUCUGCAAGCACCCAUCCUGCAUGCCAUGCUUGUUGCUUCCAUCAUUUGUGCUUCCAUCUUUGUGGUCUUCACCCACUUCCCCUCAGCCUCAAGCACCAGGCUUCUACCUUGGAUCUUUGCCCUCCUUGUUACCCUUUUCCCUGUUAUGUACCUCUUAGAAGGCCAGCUUAGAGUGAGAAACCCAUUAGAAGGUGAAUCGGAGCAAGAAGAAUAUGCCACCCUCUUAGCCAUCGGGGCUCGGACGAGACUAUUGGGUCUGUUUGCCUCUAUAUUUAUGCUCAUUGCUUUGGAGAUCAAGUUUGAGUUGGCCUCGUUGAUGAGAGAGAAGGCGCUAGAGAAAGGUGGGGUUUUACAAAACCAGGCAACUCGGGUGGGUGGUCUCGCACCCAAGUAUCGGAUGGUCCAGCAAAGGAGGGUGGUGGGCCCUACUCCAUCGUUCUUAACGGUUAAGAAGCUUGCUGCCGAGGGUGCAUGGAUGCCUUUUAUAGGAAAUGUUUCUACCCUUCUUUGUUUCACUAUAUGUUUGGUUCUAAGCAUACAUUUAACAGGUGGCUCAAACAGGGCCAUCUUCCUUAUCACCCCCAUAUUGUUGCUUCUAAACCAAGAUUCAGACUUUUUGAUUGGUUUUGGGGAUAGACAGAGGUAUUUUCCUGUGGUUUUGGCUAUUUCAGGUUACUUGGUUUUGCUGGCCUUGUAUAGGAUUUGGGAAGAAGUUUGGCAUGGCAAUGCAGGGUGGGGCCUUGAUAUUGGUGGGCCUGGUUGGUUUUUUGCAGUAAAAAAUGCUGCCCUUUUGAUUCUCACCCUACCAAAUCAUAUACUCUUCAACCGCUUCAUGUGGGACUAUGCAAAGCAGGCAGACUCGGUGCUUCUUCUCACUCUACCCCUUAAUUUACCAUCCAUUAUAAUUACGGAUAUAAUCACGGUGAAGGUUUUGGGGCUUUUGGGUGUUAUUUAUUCUCUGGUCCAGUACUUGGUCUCGAGGCACAUAAGGAUCGCAGGCAUGAAAUAUAUAUGAACCGACACACAAGUGGCAUUGUGGUUGUUUCUCUCACAAGUUGGACCAGUUUUGAUUGGACCAAAUACCUUAUUAGUUUGGUGACCUGUCGAUCUUAGCAUAUGGAUCUUUCUAUACUUUCCCUCAAAGAGGAAGGAAGAGUAUUUCAUGCACCUGGUGCACGACAUGCUACACCAUGGGGGGAUCCUAUAUUUGUUGGAGACUACAGAACCUGAUUUUGGACAUUCACCAGGGGUUACCUCCCCCAACAUCAAGGAUGGAGUGGAUGCUUCCAUGGUGUGGUUGGCAUAAAUGUGACUUGUAAAGUGUGGAGUAUGCGAGGGAUAUAUACACCAUGUGCAACACAUUCAUUUAUUUUGAAGAUUUGGAGGAAAAAAGUUAAUUUUAAUUGAGGCCCAGUUUUGAAGAUAGGGUUCUUCCUUAAAUGGAGCAAAAAGUAUAGUCUGAGGUCUCGGGAGAGAUUGUAAUUCUAAACACAGGAUUAGAGGAAGUAGAGAGGCUGUGCCCAUUCAACUUUACCUGGAAAUUUCAGGCAUGGGCUUUGUGUAAAACAGUUGUUGAAACAUUUUGUGAGGUUUUUUUGGUCUUAUUUUCGUGGGUUUCUUGGUUGAAAGAAACAUAAUAAACUGCAAGUGGAGGAGGUUAAUAGGUUGGUUCAUGAACGCAGGCAUAAAUCGUUUUGGUUA